UUCCAUUGUUAACCGAUGUCAUCCCAAAAAAUCAGGGAUCCUAAUUUAAAACCUUAGCUGUUAUCCCAAUAAAUCAGGAAUCCUAAUUAAUCUCUCAAUUUCUAUAUUUAUACUAUGCAUUCCAUUCGGGCCUUUCAAAUUCAACAAUCAACAUCCACAAAUUGAUCCAUUCCGAUUUUGAAACGACUUCAAUUUUCUUUUGUGUCUUCUUCUUCAUGUACUGAAUGUGUUAAUUUGUAGGUUUUUGGGUUCGGACUUUUCUCGAUCAGGGGAAGGUUUUUGGGUUAGGAAUUUUCUCGAUCAGGGGGAAGGCAUUGUUUUUAAGGUUAUCGACACAUCUAUAGUUUCUAUAAUUGAAAAUUUGAAUACCCCAUCCUCCAUAUCUAUACUAUGUGUUUCUUCCUUCGAUUCGGGUAUCUCGCUGGAUUAGUAGGUUUUUAUUCACCUGCUUCAUGGUAGAAAACUAGAAACAUUAUCAACAGGAAGAGCUAUUUCGUUAUCUUUUUUUCUCUAAAUGCCCUAGCCAUCGCCGCUAAUCAUCUUGAUAAGGGAACAAGAACCGUCAUACCUUCUUCUUGUAUGCAGAAAUCAGCAAAGAACUUUGUUAUACAAUGAAAGGAAUCCAAAAAAUGCGAAGUAUAUAGCUUUCUGGAGUAAAAAAGAUGGGACCUCUUGCUAGAUUUUGAUGUAUAUAGCAUUGGGGUACUUGCACUGGAAGUGAUCAAAGGAGAGCAUCCAAUAGAUGCAGGUUUAAUCUCUCUGCUAGACUUUAUGCUUGGCAUGGAUGAUAAUCUCACAUGAAAUUAUUUAUGUAGUCAUUUUGAUGUAGAAAUCUAUUAUAAUAAUAAUGUCUAAAUACUUUAUCUCAUAUGUAAUGACUUUACAAUAUCAAACUCUUUCGUUAAUUAGUCAAUCGUACAUGCAUAAGUAUUUUGGAUAUAUAGAUGUGUACUUGAGCACAUAUUAUUGAAGUUAGAUGUA